rnacentral:tRNA from 1 species
AUUUAUAUAGUUUAAAUAAAACAUUACAUUUUCAUUGUAAAAAUAAUUCUUUUAUUUAUAAAUA